CCUACGGGUAGCAGCAGUCGAGAAUCAUUCACAAUGGGGGAAACCCUGAUGGUGCGACGCCGCGUGGGGGAAUGAAGGUCUUCGGAUUGUAAACCCCUGUCAUGUGGGAGCAAAUUAAAAAGAUAGUACUACAAGAGGAAGAGACGGCUAACUCUGUACCAGCAGCCGCGGUAAUACAGAGGUCUCAAGCGUUGUUCGGAAUCACUGGGCGUAACGCGUGCGGAGGCUGUUUCGUAAGCCGUGUGUGAAAGGGGCGGGCUCAACCCGCGGACGGCACAUGAUACUGCGAGACUAGAGUAAUGGAGGGGGAACCGGAAUUCUCGGUGUAGCAGUGAAAUGCGUAGAUAUCGCGAGGAACACUCGUGGCGAAGGCGGGUUCCUGGACAUUAACUGACGCUGAGGCACGAAGGCCAGGGGAGCGAAAGGGAUUAGAUACCCCAGUAGUC
rnacentral:rRNA from 1 species